AAUGGAAUAAUGACUUUUUUCACGCAUAUUAAUGGUAGAUAAAUAGACAGCUACUAUGCAUAAUAUUAAGUGGGUGGACCAAUGCUUAGCCUAAAAUUAAAUACAUUUAUCAUAUACAUUCUAAUGAAAUUGUGGAAAAUAUUGCCCAUCCCUACAUCCUAACCGGUAUUUGUACGAGUACACAGCAUUUAAACCUACGCUAAGGGACAUUACUCGGGAGAAUGUUUCAGAAACGCCAGAAAAAAUACACAAAACAAUAUGUCGAAAUUUUCGGGAACUGCAAGUUGUACACAACUUGUACAUCUACACUUUCAUAUUUAGUGCUUUUGCGUAUGCUGUAAAGCAAUGAUUGACAGUCUUGGGGGCCCAGUGAAAGUAAACAACUUCCUUUCUACACUGAAUUUACCAACUAUGAGUAAUGUUAGCUUGAAAAAGAUGGAAAGGCGAGCAGGGACUGUUAUAGAGAAGGCUUCCCUUGAAUCCUGUGCUACAGCAGCAAAGCAAGCAUUUAAUGAUGAGAUGCA
rnacentral:misc_RNA from 1 species